rnacentral:rRNA from 1 species
UCGCAAUGGGGGCAACCCUGACGAAGCAAUGCCGCGUGAAUGAAGAAGGCCUUCGGGUUGUAAAGUUCUUUCGUGGAGGACGAAAAGGUGGGUGCUAAUAUCGCCUGCUGUUGACGUGAAUCCAAGAAGAAGCACCGGCUAACUCCGUGCCAGCAGCCGCGGUAAUACGGGGGGUGCAAGCGUUAAUCGGAAUCACUGGGCGUAAAGGGUGCGUAGGCGGUGCAUUAGGUCUGUCGUGAAAUCCCCGGGCUCAACCUGGGAAUGGCGGUGGAAACCGGUGUACUAGAGUAUGGGAGAGGGUGGUGGAAUUCCAGGUGUAGCGGUGAAAUGCGUAGAGAUCUGGAGGAACAUCAGUGGCGAAGGCGGCCACCUGGCCCAAUACUGACGCUGAGGCACGAAAGCGUGGGGAGCAAACAGGAUUAGAUACCCUGGUAGUCCACGCCCUAAACGAUGAAUACUAGAUGUUUGGUGCCAAGCGUACUGAGUGUCGUAGCUAACGCGAUAAGUAUUCCGCCU